UAAUCUAUGAGCGGGACGGUGUUUUACUUCCGUCUCGUGGGUGAGCAAGAGGUAUAACAAUGGUGGUGAGAUAUCGUUUCAUUCGUCAUUUAGAUCCGUUGACGAUUCGAUUGUUAUUUGCUGCAA